AUUGAACGCUAGCGGCAUGCUUUACACAUGCAAGUCGAACGGAGUGGCGGACGGGUGAGUACUAUCUCGGAACUUUCACAGUAGCGGGGGAUAACCACUCGAAAGAGUAGCUAAUACCGCAUACUUUUGGAGCGGUCGAUAUCUGAUUAGCUAUUUGGUGGGGUAAAGGCUCACCAAGGCCACGAGCCGUAACUGGUUUGAGAGGACGACCAGCCACACUGGAACUGAGACACGGCCCAGACUCCUACGGGAGGCAGCAGUGGGGAAUAUUGGACAAUGGGGGAAAGCCUGAUCCAGCCAUCCCGCGUGUGUGAAGAAGGCCUUCGGGUUGUAAAGUACUUUUAGCAGAGAGGCGGUAUCUGCAGAAGAAGCACCGGCUAACUCCGUGCCAGCAGCCGCGGUAAUUC
rnacentral:rRNA from 1 species